UUAUUUUCAUUGAUGAGAUUCCCAAAUAGGUUAACCUUUUUAACUGCUGUUGAAUCCAUGGGUAGGCAAGAGACAACCUGGCGAACUGAAACAUCUUAGUAGCCAGAGGAAUAGAAAGCAAAAGCGAUUCCCGUAGUAGCGGCGAGCGAAAUGGGAGCUACGAUGUGUUGAACCACUUCAACGAGUCUACGUGUGAGGUAUCCAGCAUCUGCGAUCUUGCUGGUACAUAUAAUUCAGAGUAAUAUGUAAGGGACUGAUAUACAACAUCUACAGCAUUAUGAACCAUUCGUAGAAGUGGCAUAUUAUUAA
rnacentral:ncRNA from 1 species